UGGGGAAUAUUGGACAAUGGGCGAAAGCCUGAUCCAGCCAUGCCGCGUGUGUGAAGAAGGUCUUCGGAUUGUAAAGCACUUUAAGUUGGGAGGAAGGGCAGUUACCUAAUACGUGAUUGUUUUGACGUUACCGACAGAAUAAGCACCGGCUAACUCUGUGCCAGCAGCCGCGGUAAUACAGAGGGUGCAAGCGUUAAUCGGAAUUACUGGGCGUAAAGCGCGCGUAGGUGGUUAGUUAAGUUGGAUGUGAAAUCCCCGGGCUCAACCUGGGAACUGCAUUCAAAACUGACUGACUAGAGUAUGGUAGAGGGUGGUGGAAUUUCCUGUGUAGCGGUGAAAUGCGUAGAUAUAGGAAGGAACACCAGUGGCGAAGGCGACCACCUGGACUGAUACUGACACUGAGGUGCGAAAGCGUGGGGAGCAAACAGGAUUAGAUACCCGAGUAGUCCCUGAGCGGGCUGGCAAGGCGCAU
rnacentral:rRNA from 1 species